rnacentral:rRNA from 1 species
AGAGUUUGAUCAUGGCUCANGAUGAACGCUAGCGGGAGGCUUAACACAUGCAAGUCGAGGGGCAGCACGAGGUAGCAAUACUUUGGUGGCGACCGGCGCACGGGUGAGUAACGCGUAUGCAACCUACCCUGUACUGGGGGAUAGCCCGGAGAAAUCCGGAUUAAUACCCCAUAAAGAUAUGAGAUGGCAUCAUUUUAUAUUUAAAGUUCCGACGGUACGGGAUGGGCAUGCGUAACAUUAGCUAGUUGGUAGGGUAACGGCCUACCAAGGCUGCGAUGUUUAGGGGUCCUGAGAGGGUGAUCCCCCACACUGGUACUGAGACACGGACCAGACUCCUACGGGAGGCAGCAGUGAGGAAUAUUGGUCAAUGGGCGCAAGCCUGAACCAGCCAUCCCGCGUGCAGGAAGAAGGCGCUAUGCGUCGUAAACUGCUUUUCCAGGGGAAGAAAUUUAUCUACGUGUAGGUAAUUGCCGGUACCCUGGGAAUAAGCAUCGGCUAACUCCGUGCCAGCAGCCGCGGUAAUACGGAGGAUGCAAGCGUUAUCCGGAUUUAUUGGGUUUAAAGGGUGCGUAGGCGGAUUAAUAAGUCAGUGGUGAAAUACUGCAGCUUAACUGUAGAAUUGCCGUUGAUACUGUUAGUCUUGAGUACGGUCAAGGUAGGCGGAAUGUGUAAUGUAGCGGUGAAAUGCUUAGAUAUUACACAGAACACCGAUUGCGAAGGCAGCUUACUGGGCCAUUACUGACGCUGAGGCACGAAAGCGUGGGGAGCGAACAGGAUUAGAUACCCUGGUAGUCCACGCCGUAAACGAUGAUCACUCGCUGUUGGCGAUACACAGUCAGCGGCUAAGCAAAAGCAUUAAGUGAUCCACCUGGGGAGUACGGCCGCAAGGCUGAAACUCAAAGGAAUUGACGGGGGCCCGCACAAGCGGAGGAGCAUGUGGUUUAAUUCGAUGAUACGCGAGGAACCUUACCCGGGCUUGAAAGUUACUGAAGAUACCAGAGACGGUAUCGUCCUUCGGGACAGGAAACUAGGUGCUGCAUGGCUGUCGUCAGCUCGUGCCGUGAGGUGUUGGGUUAAGUCCCGCAACGAGCGCAACCCCUAUGUUUAGUUGCCAGCGCGUAGCGGCGGGGACUCUAAACAGACUGCCUGUGCAAACAGUGAGGAAGGCGGGGACGACGUCAAGUCAUCAUGGCCCUUACGUCCGGGGCUACACACGUGCUACAAUGGUCGGUACAGAGGGCAGCCAGCCAGCAAUGGUGCGCGAAUCCCUUAAAGCCGAUCACAGUUCGGAUCGGGGCCUGCAACUCGGCCCCGUGAAGCUGGAUUCGCUAGUAAUCGCGUAUCAGCAAUGACGCGGUGAAUACGUUCCCGGGCCUUGUACACACCGCCCGUCAAGCCAUGAAAGCUGGGGGUGCCUAAAGCAUGUAACCGCAAGGAGCGUGUUAGGGCAAUACCGGUAAUUGGGGCUAAGUCGUAACAAGGUA